rnacentral:rRNA from 1 species
AUUGAACGCUGGCGGCAUGCUUUACACAUGCAAGUCGAACGGACGUAGCAAUACGGCAGCGGCAGACGUGUGAGUAACACGUGGGAACGCGCCCUUCGGUCUGGAAUAAGCCAGGGAAACUUGGGCUAAUACCGGAUACGCCCUGACGGGGAAAGAUUUAUUGCCGAAGGAACGGCCCGCGUCCGAUUAGCUAGGUGGUGAGGUAACGGCUCACCAAGGCGACGACCGGUAGCUGGUCUGAGAGGAUGACCAGCCUCACUGGGACUGAGACACGGCCCAGACUCCUACGGGAGGCAGCAGUGGGGAAUAUUGGACAAAGGGCGCAAGCCUGAUCCAGCCAUGCCGCGUGGGUGAUGAAGGCCCUAGGGUUGUAAAGCCCUUUCAGCGGGGAAGAUAAUGACGGUACCCGCAGAAGAAGCCCCGGCUAACUUCGUGCCAGCCGCCGCAGUAACAC